CGAACGCUGGCGGCGUGCUUAACACAUGCAAGUCGAACGGAAAGGCCCUGCUUUUGUGGGGUGCUCGAGUGGCGAACGGGUGAGUAACACGUGAGUAACCUGCCCUUGACUUUGGGAUAACUUCAGGAAACUGGGGCUAAUACCGGAUAGGAGCUCCUGCUGCAUGGUGGGGGUUGGAAAGUUUCGGCGGUUGGGGAUGGACUCGCGGCUUAUCAGCUUGUUGGUGGGGUAGUGGCUUACCAAGGCUUUGACGGGUAGCCGGCCUGAGAGGGUGACCGGCCACAUUGGGACUGAGAUACGGCCCAGACUCCUACGGGAGGCAGCAGUGGGGAAUAUUGCACAAUGGGCGGAAGCCUGAUGCAGCAACGCCGCGUGCGGGAUGACGGCCUUCGGGUUGUAAACCGCUUUCGCCUGUGACGAAGCGUGAGUGACGGUAAUGGGUAAAGAAGCACCGACUAACUACGUG
rnacentral:rRNA from 1 species